rnacentral:tRNA from 1 species
GGAAUAUGGCUUAGUGGUAGAGUGCUUGCCUAGCAUGCAUGAAGCCCUGGGUUCGAUUCCUCAGUACCA